rnacentral:rRNA from 1 species
UACGUAGGUGGCGAGCGUUGCCCGGAUUUACUGGGCGUAAAGGGAGCGUAGGCGGACUUUUAAGUGAGAUGUGAAAUACUCGGGCUCAACUUGAGUGCUGCAUUUCAAACUGGAAGUCUAGAGUGCAGGAGAGGAGAAUGGAAUUCCUAGUGUAGCGGUGAAAUGCGUAGAGAUUAGGAAGAACACCAGUGGCGAAGGCGAUUCUCUGGACUGAAACUGACGCUGAGGCUCGAAAGCGUGGGGAGCAAACAGG